rnacentral:rRNA from 1 species
UACAGAGGGGGCAAGCGUUGUUCGGAAUUACUGGGCGUAAAGGGCGCGUAGGCGGCCUGUUAAGUCGAACGUGAAAUCCCUGGGCUCAACCCAGGAACUGCGUCCGAUACUGGCAGGCUUGAAUCCGGGAGAGGGAUGUGUAAUUCCAGGUGUAGCGGUGAAAUGCGUAGAUAUCUGGAGGAACACCGGUGGCGAAGGCGGCAUCCUGGACCGGUAUUGACGCUGAGGCGCGAAAGCCAGGGGAGCAAACGGG